GGCUGGAGAGAUGGCUCAGCGGUUAAGAGCACUGGCAGCUCUUCCAGAGGUCCUGAGUUCAAUUCCCAGCAGCCA
rnacentral:tRNA from 1 species